rnacentral:misc_RNA from 1 species
AAAGUCGUAACAAGGUUUCCGUAGGUGAACCUGCGGAAGGAUCAUUAACAACGUAUCCUAAAACGUAGAAAAAACCCCCCCGUGAAUAUUCAAUCAACCCGAUAUGCUUCGAGCAUGCGGCAAGGCAUGAUAUAACCUGGACUACCCCCAAGCAUUGGCGCGCAAUGUUCUGUCAGUGGGCAUUGUUUGUGUAAGGGUGGCGUUUAAAACAACGAUUGCUGGAGACCACCACGGUCGGCAACCAGGUCAUUGAGCUAGACGCUCCCCUAAAACCCGAUAUGACAAUUAGGCUCCCGUCGAACGACCUGGUGGGCUACGACUGUUAACAAUGGAUAUCUCGGAUCUC